rnacentral:rRNA from 1 species
AUGCUGGGCCCCCUGCGAGUCAAAAUCUUCACUUGGCUCGCCGACCUCGACCGUUGCUGGACUGCAGCUAGACUUGCUCGGCAUGGCCUGCCGCACAACGACCGCUGUGUCCUUUGCGAUCAGGCCGAGGAGACCAUGCAACACAUCAUCAUUGGCUGUCCUUUCUCUUGGCAAAUCUGGCAUGAUGUGCUCGCCUGGGUGCGUGCCACUACCCACCCUCCGUCUGGAGACGAAGACUUCCUCACCUGGUGCACGACGGCCAUCGCUGGAUCCCCCUCUGGCCUUCGCAAGGGCCUUGCCACGCUAGCCACGCUUACCGACUGGUGCAUAUGGAAGCACCGCAACUGCUGCGUGUUCGACGGCGAUACCCCCUCCAUCUCGACGCUAUUGGCGUCUAUUCAAGACGAGGCCCGGACCUGGGCUCGAGCCGGUGCGCGCGGACUCAACCUUUUGCUGGCAUAG